GCCGUGCAUCAGUGACAGUGGAUUGCUAUGGAGAAAUGGCGUGGCUACUGUUUGAUACUGUUUACGCUCGCAUCUUGGGUGGUGUUGAGCGAAUCAAAUCCGAUGGCACUCAAGCUAUUAAGAAAACUGUGGAGCUACAGUUGUGAGGAGCCACUUAUGGAACCAGUGGGGGACUGCACCGCAAAUAUAAACAAGUACUUCUUCAACAAAACCGCGAAAAUGUGUCAAAAGUUUUAUUGGAAUGGCUGCCUUUCCAGAGGCGUGUACGAAACACGCUACGCAUGCGCACUCAACUGCAACGAAGGUGAAGCAGCUGCAUUCUGUGCAAAACCUCACCCUGCCGGAUGCGAGACAGUAAAGACUCGAAGCUGGAGACAACGAAACUACAAAUUGGAUGCGUAUUACUAUGACAUCCGUUCGAGGGCGUGCAAGCCUUUUAAGUUCUGUGGACCUCCAGCACCACUAGACUCAAACUUGUUCACCAGCCUGUCGAUGUGUCUCAUGGAAUGCGACACACAUUGCAAUUUAUCACUUGUAGCCGAUCCCUUCGGAAGUCAUCUGCUCCAAGUGAAUUAUGAAGACGCCAGUUUUGGGAUAUGCAUUCUCAAGUUUCAUGACGAACUGCUUUGGUGUUCCAGCAGUUUUUUUGUGCCUCAGUGUGUAAAGAGACAUUGUGAAGAAAAGUAAGCAGACGAACAGUGCAUUUUCAUCGCAAGUUUGACGGUGCUUAUUUCAAAAGGUGAUUUAAAAAAAAUGAUAAUGUCAAAAUAAGGAUGCCCGGUUACUAGAACUGCUCACAUUCAUUUACUUGGAUGCACAUACAUUGCUUUGGUAAGAUAUUUUCCAUCUGUAGAUCUGCCUUACCUUUGCCAGCUUCCUUUUUUUUGGCGUUGUUAGA